rnacentral:lncRNA from 13 species
CUUGUAUUAUGCAUGAAGACACAGCUAAUCAAGUUGGUAUCAACAGAUUGAUUCUGUUUAAAUGGUUAUUUCUACAUAAUGUAACAUUGUAGUAUGUUUAAUUGAGUAUUACGCAGACAGUUAUAAUGAUACUAACGAUACUUAGGUAAAUCAGAAUCAGUUAUAAAAUUAAAAUAAAAAUAAAAUAGUUUUAUUUUAAUUAUAGUAUAAUUGAAUUAUUUGCACAAUUACAGUGAAUUUGGAAUAAUAAUACAAUACUGAGGCAGAAUUAAGUGGAGAUGCUGAGACUGGAGGAUCCAAUUGGAAAAAAAAUAAAUGAAAUAAAAAAGACUCUGGCAGGAGGAGAGAUUUUCUUUACUUUGUGGGGUCCUAGAAACUGAGUAAUUCUGUCUAUCAAGAAAGAAGAAAAUCAAAUUUAUGUGUCAAAUAUCAUAAAGUAAUAGAAAAUAUUACCUGUCAAUACUUUACAAUGGAAAGUUAUAAUGAAGGUCAUUGUACAAUAAUAAAACUAUAUUCGUUUUUACA